UCUACUAUUUAUCUUCCAACAUCUACUAGGAUCUGUCUUUUUCUGCAUUAACAGCUUACUUGUUAAUGUAAGCUGUUCAACAAUUCCAAGUUGAGCAACAGCCAAAACUGAUGCGUGUGUUCUCAAAAUUACAGAGUUGAAAGACAUUUACUGCCAAAGAAGCAAACAUCAGAUUAAAGAACUACUGCUAAAUUUGGAACAAGGAUCCAUUAUCUUCUGACAGCAUCUGUAAGAAUAUAUUAAUAGAACUUGGAGAAGAGGAAAAUCACUGGAUUGGGAAAAAUUCAAUUGUUAUAAGAAGGGACUAUCAAUAGAUGGAGAACCUUUGAGAAUAAUCCUUUCUUUGAAACAAAAGCUUUGCAGAUGUUUCCAGCAGAAGUGUUGCUUGUAAACAGCUAACAGGUGACUCAAAUGAGAGGCAUGUUCCAUUAUGGCAGAUAUAGGACAUCUCCAGAAGACAUAGCUGGCAUUCUUGCUAUGUAAAU